rnacentral:rRNA from 1 species
UAGGGAAUCUUCCGCAUUGGGCGAAAGCCUGACGGAGCAACGCCGCGUGAGUGAAGAAGGUCUUCGGAUCGUAAAAUUCUGUUAUUAGGGAAGAACAAAUGUGUAAGUAACUAUGCACGUCUUGACGGUACCUAAUCAGAAAGCCACGGCUAACUACGUGCCAGCAGCCGCGGUAAUACGUAGGUGGCAAGCGUUAUCCGGAAUUAUUGGGCGUAAAGCGCGCGUAGGCGGUUUUUUAAGUCUGAUGUGAAAGCCCACGGCUCAACCGUGGAGGGUCAUUGGAAACUGGAAAACUUGAGUGCAGAAGAGGAAAGUGGAAUUCCAUGUGUAGCGGUGAAAUGCGCAGAGAUAUGGAGGAACACCAGUGGCGAAGGCGACUUUCUGGUCUGUAACUGACGCUGAUGUGCGAAAGCGUGGGGAUCAAACAGGAUUAGAUGCCCUGGUAGUCCACGCCGUAAACGAUGAGUGCUAAGUGUUAGGGGGUUUCCGCCCCUUAGUGCUGCAGCUAACGCAUUAAGCACUCCGCCUGGGGAGUACGACCGCAAGGUUG